CAGUAGCCGCGGGAAUACGUAGGGUGCAAGCGUUAAUCGGAAUUACUGGGCGUAAAGCGUGCGCAGGCGGUUUUGUAAGUCUGUCGUGAAAUCCCCGGGCUCAACCUGGAAUGGCGAUGGAGACUGCAAGGCUAGAAUCUGGCAGAGGGGGGUAGAAUUCCACGUGUAGCAGUGAAAUGCGUAGAUAUGUGGAGGAACACCGAUGGCGAAGGCAGCCCCCUGGGCUAAGAUUGACGCUCAUGCACGGAAGCGUGGGGAGCAAACAGGAUUAGAUACCCCCGUAGUCCCUGUCUCUUAUACA
rnacentral:rRNA from 1 species